GGGUAAGGGCCCACCAAGGCGACGAUGGGUAGCUGGUCUGAGAGGACUAUCAGCCACACUGGCACUGAGACACGGGCCAGACUCCUACGGGAGGCAGCAGUGGGGAAUUUUGCGCAAUGGGCGAAAACCUGACGCAGCAACGCCGCGUGAAGGAUGAAGGCUCUCGAGUCGUAAACUUCUGUCUGGGGGAAAGAUGAUGACGGUACCCCCAAAGCAAGCCCCGGCUAAUUCCGUGCCAGCAGCCGCGCUAAUACGGAAGGGGCAAGCGUUGUUCGGAAUUAUUGGGCGUAAAGGGCGUGUAGGCGGCUUCUAAUGUCUGUGGUGAAAGGAUGCAGCUCACACUGCAUUCAGCCUUGGAAACUGUGGAGCUUGAGGCUGGGAGGGGCUGGUGGAAUUCCCUGUGUAGCGGUGAAAUGCGUAGAGAUGGGGGAGAACACUCGUGGCGAAGGCGGCCAGCCUGGACCAGUUCUGACGCUUGAGGCGCGAAAGCGUGGACAACAG
rnacentral:rRNA from 1 species